GAAUCUGAUGGAGCCUAGCCCGUGGACUAUGAAGGGCUUCUGAUUGUAAAGUUCUUUUAUUUAGGAAAAAAAGCGCGCUAGGAAAUGAGCGCGCCUUGAUGGUACUAAUUGAAUAAGUGACAGCUAACUAUGUGCCAACAGCUGCGGUAAA
rnacentral:rRNA from 1 species